GGCUCCAUAGUGCAGAGGUUAGCACGUCUGCUUUAUAUGCAGAAAGUCCGGGGUUCGUGCCCCAGGUGGAGCCA
rnacentral:tRNA from 1 species